GAUGAACGCUGGCGGCGUGCUUAACACAUGCAAGUCGAACGGGAAUUACUUUAUUGAAACUUCGGUCGAUUUAAUUUAAUUCUAGUGGCGGACGGGUGAGUAACGCGUGGGUAACCUGCCUUAUACAGGGGGAUAACAGUCAGCAAUGGCUGCUAAUACCGCAUAAGCGCACAGAGCUGCAUGGCUCAGUGUGAAAAACUCCGGUGGUAUAAGAUGGACCCGCGUUGGAUUAGCUGGUUGGUGGGGUAACGGCCCUCCAAGGCGACGAGCCAGAGCGGGCCUGAGAGGCUGCACGGCCACGUUGGGACUGGUACACGGCCCAGACGCCGACGGCAGGCAGCCGUGGGGAAUAUUGCCCAAUGGGUGAAACCCUGAUGCAGCGACGCCGCGUGAAGGAAGAAGUAUCUCGGUAUGUAAACUUCUAUCAGCAGGGAAGAUAGUGACGGUACCUGACUAAGAAGCCCCGGCUAACUACGUGCCAGCCGCCGCGGUAA
rnacentral:rRNA from 1 species